GUAGGUGGCAAGCGUUGUCCGGAAUUAUUGGGGGGCGUAAAGCGCGCGCAGGGCGGGAUUGGGUCAGUCUGUCUUAAAAGUUCGGGGCUUAACCCCGUGAUGGGAUGGAAACUGCCAAUCUAGAGUAUCGGAGAGGAAAGUGGAAUUCCUAGUGUAGCGGUGAAAUGCGUAGAUAUUAGGAAGAACACCAGUGGCGAAGGCGACUUUCUGGACGAAAACUGACGCUGAGGCGCGAAAGCCAGGGGAGCGAACGGGAUUAGAUACCCCGGUAGUCCUGGCCGUAAACGAUGGGUACUAGGUGUAGGAGGUAUCGACCCCUUCUGUGCCGGAGUUAACGCAAUAAGUACCCCGCCUGGGGAGUACGACCGCAAGGUUG
rnacentral:rRNA from 1 species